UACGUAGGGAGCAAGCGUUGUCCGGAAUCAUUGGGCGUAAAGCGCGCGUAGGUGGCCUCAUAAGUCCGCUGUGAAAGUCAAAGGCUCAACCUUUGAAAGCCGGUGGAUACUGUGAGGCUAGAGUACGGAAGAGGCGAGUGGAAUUCCUGGUGUAGCGGUGGAAUGCGCAGAUAUCAGGAGGAACACCGGUGGCGAAGGCGGGUCUCUGGGCCGAUACUGACGCUGAGGAGCGAAAGCGUGGGGAGCGAACAGG
rnacentral:rRNA from 1 species